rnacentral:rRNA from 1 species
UACGUAGGGGGCGAGCGUUGUCCGGAUUUAUUGGGCGUAAAGAGCUCGUAGGCGGUGUGUUACGUCGGCCGUGAAAACCUGCAGCUUAACUGUGGGCGUGCGGUCGAUACGGGCAUCACUGGAGUUCGGCAGGGGAGACUGGAAUUCCUGGUGUAGCGGUGAAAUGCGCAGAUAUCAGGAGGAACACCGGUGGCGAAGGCGGGUCUCUGGGCCGAUACUGACGCUGAGGAGCGAAAGCGUGGGGAGCAAACAGG